rnacentral:rRNA from 1 species
UACGUAGGGUGCGAGCGUUGCCCGGAUUUAUUGGGCGUAAAGGGCGCGUAGGCGGUGCCGUACGUCCGUUGUGAAAUCGCUCGGCUCAACUGGGCGGGGUCAGCGGAUACGGUGGCACUUGAGCAAGCUAGGGGGCAAUGGAAUUCCCGGUGUAGUGGUGGAAUGCGUAGAUAUCGGGAGGAACACCAGUGGCGAAGGCGGUUGCCUGGGCCAAUACUGACGCUGAGGAGCGAAAGCGUGGGGAGCGAACAGG